GCCUACUACAGCGGCCUGUUCAGGCUGCUAGUUCCCCCCAUGGGGGAGCGACACGCUAAAAUUGCGGAAAGGCCCUCACGGGAAAUCCGCCGCCCAGCUUCCUUACCCGGAGCUCGGUUCAGAGACUCAAUGAGCGUGGGUCUGGCCUCCAGCCAGAUUUGAGAUAGAGCCCGCCCUCGCUGGCAAUGGCGAGGAAUAAGUGGAACCUGCGGAAGGAUCAUUAAAGAAUACAAGGCUUUCGGGCCCUAUUCUCACCCUUUGUAUACCUAACUUUGUUGCUUUGGCGGAAACGUCAGAGGACCUAAACCCUUGAAUCUCUGCUGUCUGAGUACUAUAUAAUAGUUAAAACUUUCAACAACGGAUCUCUUGGUUCUGGCAUCGAUGAAGAACGCAGCGAAAUGCGAUAAGUAAUGUGAAUUGCAGAAUUCAGUGAAUCAUCGAAUCUUUGAACGCACAUUGCGCUCCCUGGCAUUCCGGGGAGCAUGCCUGUUCGAGCGUCAUUACAACCCUCAAGCUCUGCUUGGUAUUGGGCUCGCCUUCGGGCCUGCCUCAAAAUUAGUGGCAGCAUCGUCUGACCUUAAGCGCAGUAAUACUCGUCGCUUGUAGGAAUGUCGGAGGCUUGCUAAAAACCCCCACCAUAUUAGGUUGACCUCGGAUCAGGUAGGGAUACCCGCUGAACUUAAGCAUAUCAAUAGCCGGA
rnacentral:rRNA from 1 species